rnacentral:RNase_P_RNA from 1 species
AUUUAUUGUUAGGAAAGUCCAUGCUAGCACAAUCUGAGAUGAUUGUAGUGUUUGUGCCAGUUGAAUAAAUAAAACUGGGAAUUCUUCGGAAUUACGGCGGAAGAAACCUAAGUUCUUUUAGAAUAUGGUGUAUUCUGUAAAGUGCCACAGAGACGAUUCUUUUAGAAAUGAAAGAUUGAAACGUUGGUAAACCCCUCAAGCUAGAAACCCAAAUUAUGGUAGGGGAGUCUUACAAGUCGAAAUGAAGAGGCGUAAGGACGAGAAAUCGUAGAUAAAUAGUUACCACCUGAAUAAGGUACAGAACAUGGCUUAUAA